GGCCUCCUUCAGAACCCAGAACAGAACCAGAGCCAGGUACAUGCGGGUCACCACGGUCUGGUCUACGCUCUGGAACACAACCAGGAUUUAUUAGAACCAGAACAGAACCAGAGCCAGGUACAUGCGGGUCACCACGGUCUGGUCUACGCUCUGGAGCACAACCAGGAUUUAUUAGAACCAGAACAGAACCAGAGCCAGGUACAUGCGGGUCACCACGGUCUGGUCUACGCUCUGGAACACAACCAGGAUUUAUUAGAACCAGAACAGAACCAGAGCCAGGUACAUGCGGGUCACCACGGUCUGGUCUACGCUCUGGAACACAACCAGGAUUUAUUAGAACCAGAACAGAACCAGAGCCAGGUACAUGCGGGUCACCACGGUCUGGUCUACGCUCUGGAACAC